UCUGUAUGGUUCAGGACGAUAC
rnacentral:miRNA from 1 species